rnacentral:rRNA from 1 species
UUUUUGAAAAUAAUAUAAAGUCUAGUCUGCCCACUGAUAAUUUAUUAAAGGGCUGCAGUAUUUUGACUGUACAAAGGUAGCAUAAUCAUUUGUCUCUUAAUUGGUGACUUGUAUGAAAGAUUGGAUGAAAUAUAAACUGUCUCAUUAUAAUUAUUAAAACUUAAUUUUUUAGUUAAAAAGCUAAAAUAUUUUUAAAAGACGAGAAGACCCUAUAGAGUUUAAUAAUUAUUUUAAUAUAAAUAAAAUGUAAAAAUUAAAAUUUAAAUUAAAUUAAUUAUUUUGUUGGGGUGACAGAAAAAUUAAAUUAACUUUUUUUAAAAAUAAACAUGAAUAAGUGAGUAAAUGAUCCAUUAUUAAUGAUUAAAAGAAAAAAUUACCUUAGGGAUAACAGCGUAAUUUUUUUUUUUAGGCCAAAUAAGAAAAAAAGUUUGCGACCUCGAUGUUGGAUUAAGAUAAAAUUUAAAUGCAAAAGUUUAAAAUUUUGAUCUGUUCGACCAUUAAAA